AACUUAUCAACCACUUCCUCAUUGUCUGAAAGUGGCUUGGAUGUGGGGGCAUUUUCUUUUGCAGGCCCUUGUAAUAAAAGGUCGGCUCCCCUGAAACGCAUUAGUGGCAUCUGAGCUGCUACUGUAGGUGUGAUAAAAUAUCUAUGCCUUUGGUAUGCUGCAUGAACAGAUUGUGCUGCUCAAAACCCAAAAACUUGACAG
rnacentral:misc_RNA from 1 species